UACGUAGGCAGCGAGCGUUGUUCGGAGUUACUGGGCGUAAAGGGUGUGUAGGCGGUUGUUUUAAGUUUGGUGUGAAAUCUCCCGGCUCAACUGGGAGGGUGCGCCGAAUACUGAAUGACUUGGAGUGCGGGAGAGGAGAGUGGAAUUCCUGGUGUAGCGGUGAAAUGCGUAGAGAUCGGGAGGAACACCAGAGGCGAAGGCGGCAAGCUGGAUGGGCACUGACACUCAACUGCGAAAGCGUGGGGAGCAAACAGG
rnacentral:rRNA from 1 species